rnacentral:tRNA from 1 species
GGCCUAUAAGUUUAGUUAGUUAGAGCAUCGUGCUAAUAACGCGAAAGUUAUAAGUUCGAGACUUACAUGGGUCA